rnacentral:tRNA from 1 species
GCCACCAUGGCAUAGUGGUUUGAGUGUUGCACUACAACUCUACAGACUGGGGUUCAAUUCCCAGUUCAGCCA